UACGGGGGGGCAAGCGUUAUCCGGAUUUACUGGGUGUAAAGGGGGCGCAGACGGCAAUGCAAGCCAGGAGUGAAAGCCCGGGGCCCAACCCCGGGGCUGCUCUUGGAACUGCAUGGCUGGAGUACAGGAGGGGCAGGCGGAAUUCCUAGUGUAGCGGUGAAAUGCGUAGAUAUUAGGAGGAACACCAGUGGCGAAGGCGGCUACUGGACUGUAAAUGACGCUGAGGCUCGGAAAGCGUGGGGAGCAAACAGG
rnacentral:rRNA from 1 species